AUGGUAUGUUGAACUGACUACAACAUUGGGAAAGAGCAAUGUCUGACGAAGAAGCAAUUAAAGUAGCUUCGACAGUAGGGACAGCGCCGUUGUGGGUGCCUGUAGCCGCCGCAGGUGGACUUGUUUACGGUGCAGGAAAAGGUCUCGAUGUUGCAAAUGACUUCGGGAAAAAGAAAGGACCUUUAGCUGGUAUAGCAGCAGCUCCAUUCAUUGUUGCCGCCAACAUUAUAGCUGGUCCAUUCAAAGGAAUCAAGAAAGUGGGUGAUACGAUGAUAGGAAAUAAUGACAAAAAGUGAACUAUAUAUUUUCUAGCGUUGUGGAAUGGCUUUUAUGACGAUCAGUCAAUCCAUUACUCUAAAAUAACUUUUUCUUUUUCUCUACCUGAUCAUUUUCAAUUAAUUUUUCAAUUAAUUUAUCUUUAAUUUAUCACAGUUUAAUUAGUGCAUAUAUGCACAGAUAUGUGUCGCUUCAUUUUCUUUAUCGGAAAAUUUAUUUUAUUAAACACAGAUUAAAUUGCACAGUUGAAUUAUUUACAUUUGAUAUCAAAUUAAUUCCGCCGUUAUGAUUAACAUUACGAUAACCAGACAAGAAGAAAUAUAUAAACAUUUGAAAUGAAGACAUAAGGAAUAACUUAAAAAUGUUGUUCCAACCGCAUUGAAGAUAUUAUGUAAACAUGUCCUAAUCACAGCUUUAGUUAAUCUUUGAUAUUGUUUAAUAUGUAUCUUAUAAACAUAUGUUGCAAACAUUAUAUCUCGUCUUGUUUGUUACUUUAUUUAAUUAACAUUUCAUGAUGCAGUCACAAUUUCUAAGUCAGAAAUAAUGAAUUAUACAAUGUGAUACUUUUCCGAAUCAUUUCUACAGAAAUCACAAAUAGGUUGAAAUGCAUAAUUUAUUCGUACUAUUUACAUUUCCUUAACCCUUUGCCACGCCAAAUAUUUUAAAUUUACUUGUCCAUUGUUCAAUCAGUACAAAACUGUUCAUAUGUUUUUAGAGAAAAUUUCAAAAUAUGUAGCAGUUGACCGAAUAACAAAUAGCUGAUGUGCAGACCAUGACAAGACGGCGUAGACGCACCAGCUGAUCUUGGUCUGCAAUGGUUGCAGUGUAGAUGCAUUUGUCACUAGCAGACUUAGCGUUAAACACUCCCAAAUGUAUAUUUUUAGUUUUUACUAAUUUACAAUUGUCCCUUAAAAAUAUCAUAACAUUUCAUUUAUUUCUGUUUUACUGUCAAGUUGAUGAAGUGUAAGUCAUGCUACUGAAAUAAACAUUUAUGUAAGAUUUCACCA